rnacentral:rRNA from 1 species
CUUGGUCAUUUAGAGGAAGUAAAAGUCGUAACAAGGUUUCCGUAGGUGAACCUGCGGAAGGAUCAUUACAAGUGAGGCUACCGAACGUUGGAAACAGCGGUUAGGAGCUUACACCCACCCGUGUUUACAUACUAUUGUUGCUUUGGCGGGCCGUGGCCUCCACUGCGGGCUCUGCUCGUGUGUGCCCGCCAGAGAACCAAACUCUGAAUGUUAGUGAUGUCUGAGUACUAUCUAAUAGUUAAAACUUUCAACAACGGAUCUCUUGGUUCUGGCAUCGAUGAAGAACGCAGCGAAAUGCGAUAAGUAAUGUGAAUUGCAGAAUUCAGUGAAUCAUCGAAUCUUUGAACGCACAUUGCGCCCUGUGGUAUUCCGCAGGGCAUGCCUGUUCGAGCGUCAUUUAACCACUCACGCCUAGCGUGGUAUUGGGGCACGCGGUCUCCGCGGCCCUCAAAAUCAGUGGCGGCGCCGGUGGGCUCUAAGCGUUGUACAUACUCCCGCUAUAGAGUUCCCCCCGGUGGCUCGCCAGAACCCCCAAUUUUUUACAGGUUGACCUCGGAUCAGGUAGGGAUACCCGCUGAACUUAAGCAUAUCAAUAAGCGGAGGA